GUGGCCCACUAGGCACUCGCAUUCCACACCCGGCUCCAAGCCAGCAAGCCGCGCUUCUUACCCAUUUAAAGUUUGAGAAUAGGUUGAGAUCGUUUCGGCCCCAAGACCUCUAAUCAUUCGCUUUACCGGAUAAAACUGCGAAGGUUUACGUCGUGACAAGCGCCAGCUAUCCUGAGGGAAACUUCGGAGGGAACCAGCUACUAGACGGUUCGAUUAGUCUUUCGCCCCUAUACCCAGGUCGGAUGACUGAUUUGCACGUCAGGAACGCUGCGGACCUCCACCAGAGUUUCCUCUGGCUUCGCCCUGCCCAGGCAUAGUUCACCAUCUUUCGGGUCCUAUUGCACGCGCUCACGCUCCACCUCCCGGACGGGGCCAGCGAGACGGGCCG